AAGUCGUAACAAGGUUUCCGUAGGUGAACCUGCGGAAGGAUCAUUACCAGAGUCCGGGUCCGCAAGGCCCCGACCUCCCAACCCUUUGCCUACAGACCAACGUUGCCUCGGCGGGACGCGCGUCGAACGCGGUAAAAAGCGUUUGGCGCGAGUCGGCCUUCGCUCAGCGAGGCUUUCGAGCCGCCCGCCGAAGGACCAUUAUCAAAAAACCAUUUUUCGAAACCAGAUGAGAAAAGCCUGAAACUUGAAAAUAAAUACUUCAAAA
rnacentral:misc_RNA from 1 species